AGAGAAUGAUUCAUCAGCUGAUGGAAUAGAAAACACUGAGAAUGUCAAGACUUCUGCAGUCGAUGAAGAGAAUGAUUCAUCAGCUGAUGGAAUAGAAAACACUGAGAAUGUCAAGACUUCUGCAGUCGAUGAAGAGAAUGAUUUAUCAGCUGAAGGAAUAGAAAACACUGAGAAUGUCAAGACUUCUGCAGUCGAUGAAGAGAAUGAUUUAUCAGCUGAAACUGAUGCCAUGGAUAUUCACGCUUUCUGUGAGAAUCAUAUAUCUGGUAUGUACGGUCUGUAUCUCUAGAAUGCAGUGUUGAUGAUAGCUUUCUAUGCUAUGGAGCACAUCCCUCCUAUUUUUUUAGCGUAGUCCUACUAUGCAAAUUAGUGAGUUUAUUUCUU
rnacentral:lncRNA from 1 species